UAAUGAACUUAAGUACAAACUGACAGAGAAAUGGGAAGAUGUCGCGCUGUAAGAACUAAGAAAAUCGAUUUCCUCAUGGACAAUUCCUCUGAGAGCAGUCUACGAACAUGACGGUGACGGGUGGAUACACUGACCACCUUUUCAAUACACAAAAAAUGUGAGCAGAACGUGUCGUACGGUCGUUAUACCUGUAAGCAGUUAUGUGCAGAUCGCCACUGUUCCGAUUCGUCCUCGUCCUGUGAUGUCAAGACGGGGGCGUGUGUUGGCGGAUGUCAAGCGGGCUGGACUGGAACAGACUGCAAGUGGGCAUGUAUCCAGAACGACACCUAUGGACAUGGCUGUAUAAAGUACUGCAGGGAACGUCACUGUUCGUCUUCAAAUGCAUCAUGCAACCUUCUCACAGGCGAUUGCGGUACUGAUGGGUGUCAAGCUGGCUGGCAG